UACAGAGGGUGCAAGCGUUAAUCGGAAUUACUGGGCGUAAAGCGUGCGCAGACGGUUGCGUAAGUCAGAUGUGAAAGCCCCGGGCUCAACCUGGGAAUGGCCGUUGAAACUGGCGAACUGGAGUGUGGCAGAGGGGGGUGGAAUUCCGCGUGUAGCAGUGAAAUGCGUAGAGAUGCGGAGGAACACCGAUGGCGAAGGCAGCCCCCUGGGCUGACACUGACGCUCAUGCACGAAAGCGUGGGGAGCAAACAGG
rnacentral:rRNA from 1 species